UCACUCUGUUCAAGUGUUUUGUUUUCCUCUGUUGCCCAGCAGUCGUACGAUUUGUCCUGACGUGUCCUGAUAUGCCCCAAUAUGCAUGCUUUCCUUUGUUGACGCUUAGUAUUUUUUUCUUUUUUGACAAGGAACAUUGUCGUCUUGACGAUAGUGCUGCCCCGAGUUCUGCGCGCGUUGAUUUGUUGAGUGCCUAGUCCUCUUAUUAGCCAUUGAUGGAGUUACAUGUUAGGAUGUUUUGUUCUUUUGCAAGUCUCAUUUAGUAAGACUUUGGAAUUCCUACGAUCAGUUUUCAUGCAUGGUGCUCUUCUGCAAUAGUUUCCUAUGCAAUCGUUAUAGAAGAAUAAAGGAAAUAAUCUUGGGAUAGUGAUUCAAUAAAUAAUAGGUCCCCUGUCUAGAGCGCACGCGUCCUUGAGCCACGCAGGUGCAUGAUGACGUCAUACCGUGGCUUCACUGCAGAUUGACCAAAGGAGCAUUAGUGAAAAAAAAACAGUGUAGCCCUGAGACAAUAGGAUGAUGUCUGGACCAAUGAGAACUGCCAGCAGGGGGCGCAGGAAUGCUCUUCUCACUUAGCCUCACGACCAAUGAGAACGGCCAGCAGGGGGCGCAAGAAUGCUCUUCUCUCUUAGCCUCUCGCAGGUGGCGGUAGGAGCGCGCAGAGGGCGCUACGAGCGCGCGCAUGCGUAGCACCCGUAGAGUGGCGCUUACGUCAGUCCACCUCUGGCUCUCGUUGGGAGGAGACGUGCGGUCGUUCGCUCCGUCGUCACUUGAUCCCUGGCUGUCGACGAGAGCAGUCGCAUCGGUCUGCGCUCCUACUGUGAGCUGUCCUAUCUUGCCCAGACAUGCCAUGAUGACGUCACAGCUGACGUCACAGGAUGUGCGGAACUGGUGCUGCGAUGCUUUGCAACCUGCCUCUGUGCUCCGUCGCCCAGCGACGGUCAGCGGCCGUUCCGGGCCGCUUUCUUCAAGAUGACGUCGUUGAUCUUCAACUAAACUCCUUCUCUCCACUC